UGGGGAAUAUUGCACAAUGGGCGCAAGCCUGAUGCAGCCAUGCCGCGUGUGUGAAGAAGGCCUUCGGGUUGUAAAGCACUUUCAGCGAGGAGGAAGGGUGGUGUGUUAAUAGCACAUCACAUUGACGUUACUCGCAGAAGAAGCACCGGCUAACUCCGUGCCAGCAGCCGCGGUAAUACGGAGGGUGCAAGCGUUAAUCGGAAUUACUGGGCGUAAAGCGCACGCAGGCGGUUUGUUAAGUCAGAUGUGAAAGUCCCGCGCUUAACGUGGGAACUGCAUUUGAAACUGGCAAGCUAGAGUCUUGUAGAGGGGGGUAGAAUUCCAGGUGUAGCGGUGAAAUGCGUAGAGAUCUGGAGGAAUACCGGUGGCGAAGGCGGCCCCCUGGACAAAGACUGACGCUCAGGUGCGAAAGCGUGGGGAGCAAACA
rnacentral:rRNA from 1 species